UGGGUUCUCAAAGAAACCAACUAACAAAUAUGGAUCCUACAAAUCCUUUCUCUCAAUUAUUGAGGCCACUCUCUCUUUCCUCUCUAAACCCUAAUCCCUUCAUCGUCGUCUUCAAUCUUCUGAUCAUCAUAGCUAUCAAAAAGUAAUUCCGAUUCAAUAGAUCUUGCCAAAAUCCCAUUCGCGAUUUCUGAUUCAAGCUAUCUUCUCUAAAUCAAGUUUGAUUAUUAAAGAUGUGGUCCCAAUGGACUGAUCUUCCGGUGUUUCGUGAUUUCACUACUAUGGCUGGAAGGUGUUUACGUUAUGUUGUUAGUACCAUUUUUACAAAGAAAAAAAGUCCAUGAUGUCAUAGCUGGCCUAAUAAACACCUACUUCCAAAUGUUACUACAUUUGAGUACAAGAUGCAAGGAUAUAAGUCUACUCCAGAUAUGGGAGUUACAUUGUUUGAAAUUGCAAGAAUAUUUGCUACUGAAGUCCCUGGAAAAAUUGAUGCUGGUGUGUUGCAAAUACUGUGGAAGGUAUGGAGACGGUGAGCCGAGCUACUAAGUUUAGUAAAUAGUUUACCCAGAUGUCGAGAGAAGCAAAGGAAAGAGUCUUCUAUGCUUCAGACAGUUAACAAGAAGCUAUCUGCUAUGAACAAGUUAUUAAUGGAGGAAAACGAUCGCCUGCAAAAAUAAGUGUCUCAAGUUGUGUGUGAAAACAUAUAUAUGCAACAACAAUUGCACACAAUAUGUUUAUAUGAUGUUGUUGACUCAUGGUUGCAGACAUUAAUUGCGUUAACUUUUGAGUAAGGGUAGGCUUAUCUUUCUCACUUGGCUUUUUGACUCAUUGAAUCACCAAACCGAGGUUUCGUGGGAUAAUAGUUUGUAUUCAUAUCUCAAUUUAAAAUUGGACAGGUAGUCAGGUACAUUGAGCUUUGUAUUGUUAAAUGACAUUUUCAUACUGAAUUUAUAUUCUGAAUUUCUAUUUAAUAUUGGGAAGAUUACAUCACAGGAUCCUAUAUAAACAAAAGUCUUCUAACUCUUGGAAUUGUGAGGCCUCAAUCAUUGCCAUUAUUUUUUCAGUGUAAUAGUUUGCUCUAUAAAUGUCUACUUUUGGUCAUAUUUAUGUUCAAAACUCCCCCUGCAAUAAAACACUACUAUUUGUAUGUGGUGAAAAAAGUAACAGGUAUCAUAAGUUUUCCUCAACAUUUCAUAUCAUUUAUACCUGAAACUCUUGGGCAACCAAUUUCUUAAUUUGUAUUGGAAUGACUGAACAUUUGUGUGGUAUAGUUGUAUGAGUAUAAUCUAUGAAAGACGCAUUUAUUGUUGUUUUUUUAUAUUGAUAGUUGUAUCUCUUUUAGAGUUUGCUAACUUGAAACUGGCAUAGAUUAUAUCAAAAUUGACAGACGUUCGAGCAGCUCAUAUACCAUACGCCGACUCAAAGCUGACUAGGAUUCUUCAAUCUUCAUUAAGCGGUCAUGGACGAGUUUCGUUAUUUGCACCGUGACUCCCUCAUCAAGCAAUUCCGAGGAGACACAUAAUACAUUAAAGUUUGCCCACCGUGCAAAACACAUUGAAAUUCAGGCCGCACAAAAUAGGGAGGAGCUAGAACAAUUAAAAAGUGGCAUUGUGGCAGUUCCUCAGUUGAAGGAUAAUGGAGGAGAUGACAUAGUUCUUCUUAAACAAAAGGUACCUAUAAUUCUUUGAUAAGGGAAAUACGCAAAUCCAUGGAUUGGUUAAACAAGCAACCUCUCUCAUUUCAACAUGCAAUUUUGAGUUCAGCAAUUGGGAGUUAUUUUUUGGGAUUUGCAUGAGGAAAUGGCGACAACGCGUGAGGUGUUUCCGACUGUUGACAGAGGGAAGUGUUGAAACUAGCAACCGAGUAAAAUCGAUUGUCAUAUUCGCCAAAAUUUAUGUCGCAUCGUGGUUGAUGUCUGAGCAUUCGGUUAAAGCUCCAAUUGCGCCAAACGUUGGGAUUGCUGUGAGGCAUGUGCGUCGCUCGCAUUCUGGAAAAAAAAGGUGUGUGUAGUUUUUAUAAUUAGGAAUACAUUUUUUUGGUAUUGAUGUUUUGCCUAAUGUUGAACAGUUAGGGAUUUUAUCAGGUUAAUCGUUUUGUGUUAUUCGCGUUUUUAGAUGUUUGAAAGUCUAACCAAAAGCUGACCCUAUUAACUAUCUUUAAUCAGUUUUCUGGUAAUGAGUUUGUUCAAGUAGGGUUUUUCGGGUAAGCAAGGUUAGACUUGGUUCAAAUGGGAUAAUUGUUAAAAGUAGUUUGUGUUCAUGUAUUAUUUUUUAGGGUUGUCUUGAAUAUCUUUAGGUGGUUUCAGUGGCGACUCUAUGUUAUAUGCUGUUAGUUUUUUUUAUCUUUGUUUGUUAAGUAUCCAAGACUAUGGAAUUUGCCAUUAACAGUUGUCACAAUUUGUUAUAUUUAUCGUUUUUAUUUAGAUACAUAUUUGGGGAUCGCUAUGCUAUGCUACAUAGGUUAUAACAUGAGGAAAUUUCAAUAGGUGCUACUUGUGUUUUCAAAUAGUCAACAAGAGAAAUAAGUUGCUAUAACACCUGCCAUGUUGAUUUUAUAUUCUUUUUGAAAUUUCCGAUGGGUGAUACUUGCCAUGAUUUUAUAAUCUGAGAUUUUUGAAUUUUUGGUUUUUUUUUCUACGUUGAUUUUAAAUUUAUAUGUGACACCAUCAAGAGCAUAAAACCAGAUAUGGAGUUAGAUUACGCAUGUUAGAUGAUGCCACGACUGAGUUUUGUUCCACUAAUGAGCAAUCCCCUUUUGAUCCUGGCUGAGUCCUACCUGGCUGGUGUAGAGAAAGCCCAUCAAGAUCCGAGGUAAAGAUUAUGGUAUAAAGGAUACGCAGAAAAAAACAUAUUCUUGAUGCUCUCUAUAGUGAUGGUAAAGCGGUUACAGCAGAGGAUCAAGAUGAUUGGGUUAAAGGGAAGUGAGACUUCUUUUGGGAUAAAUGCAAAGAGCUUGGGAUGGAUCCAGAUUUCUGUGUCGAUGAUGUAGGAGAGGAUGACGGUGGUAUGGCUCAGUAUUUCUCUCAUUGAGUCUGAUAAAUAUUUCGACCCAGUAGUUUCUAAACCCACCUCACAUAAAUAAUUUUAUGUCGACUUUAAAUUUAUUUACUAAGGUGAUGUGGUUCAAUUCUAUUGUUGUGGCGUUGUUUUCUUAUGGGUUGAAUCAGGUUUUAAAACUGUUGGGUGGUGAUUUUUUUGGGGGUCAGUUGUUCGAUGUCAUUGAGAUCCAUUUUGUCAACUUUUUGUUUGAAAUAGUGUCUUCAAAAUGAUUUGGGUUUUUUUUGGGUCACCUAUUAUUAGUUCUAUUUCGAAGAUCAAGGCAUCAGUUAUCAGUAGAAACAAGAAUUUGGGGAAUUUUGGUGCUGGUAUGUUGCUUUCUUGGGCCUUUUUUAUUAGUCUUUGGGAGGGGUUAUUCUCUCAAUUUAUUUUGGGUUGCGUUUACAUGGUUUUUCUGGCCCAAUCUGAUCUGACUAAAAUGUAUCUCAAGCCAAAGUUUUACAUUAAAGGCCCAAUCCGAAUAGGUUGAGGUGGGCCAGGUUAUUAACUCCCCUUUUUGCUGCUAUUAUGGAACCAUUAAAUGGCUUGGAGAUUUGUCUUUUGGGACUCUAUGCAUGUUGUUCAGCCCCAAUGAUGUAUGUCAGGAUCAGUAUUAUAUAUGAAUAACUUGCUAUGAUUACAUUACUAAAUUUAACUUUAAUUAGAAUAUAAAAUCUCUAUAAUUACUUUAAAAAUCUUUAUAAUUACAUUACUGACAAUUUAAAUGUGUUACUGUGUUGAUGGUCAAGUGUUUGAAACUUUAGUACCCUAUGUAAUAUGGAAUUUUUCUCAACAUAAUAAUUAUUAAUUAUUUGAUGAUAUCCUGAUUUAAUUCAUAUUGGAAUUGAGUUACUAUAGAGUAUUAAUUUUUGUCUACUCUUUCAAUAGGCGGUAUACAAAGAACAAGCAGCUCUUUGAUUGCUCAUACUUAUCCUAAGCAAACUGAGAGAAGCAUAGAGAAAUGCAAAAUUUCUUCCAUUUCGAAAUAUAAUAGUUAGUAAGUAAUCUAUGUAAUAUGUCAUUUUAUUUUUUUUAUAUACAUAAUGUAAAUUAGACUUAUUGAAAGAUGACCUCUUUAUUGUACUUGACACGAUUUUUGUGUCAAAGUUUGAUAAUAAAAUUUUUAUUUCACAA